GGGCGUAUGGUCUAGAGGUAUGAUACUUGCUUUGGGUUGUUUGGCCAUUGCAAGGGGUCUCCGGUUCGAAUCCGGAUUCGCCCC